UCGACAGUUGAUGUGACUUGGAGAGUUUUCCACUCAGCUUUCUGAAACUCUGCCUGACUUCCAAGGCCACACUGUUGAUCACUGCUAUCCCAUGGGGUUCGUAUAUGGGAGAAGGAGAUAAGGCCUUGAGGAUCACUUGAGAUCAAGAUACAAAAGCAAUGAGCCUCUGACCUAGAAACCAAGACUUGUGAACAGAAGAUCACAAAAAUCCAUUAAAAACUUAAUACAAAA